rnacentral:lncRNA from 1 species
UGCUGCUUGUUGCUGAUGUUUCUGCCCAAAUAUCAUGAAACGUGGAGAAGAAAGAACACUCAGAUGUGCCCUGGAGACUUGCCUUUUAUUUUUAAACAUUGUUUUUUCCAUUGGGUUUGACCAACUCUAUACCCGACUUGAUCAAAUCCGAAGGAAAGCUUCCAAUUAUGGGGAACAAGUCCUCUGAAGUGGCUAAACUCCCACACACACAAAAGAAAAGAUGAGUCUAUGCCCAGGACCAUCAGAUAAUUGAGUCCUGUACAAAAGCUUCUGACUAAUCCAUGUGCUCUGGCUCAGGACUAUACAGAGAAAAGACACAGUUUCUAAAUUGAUCAUUCAAAAUUAAACAUAUUUAUGAUAUUUGCUCCAUGAUAUGUAUCUCUCAUCUGUUAGCUCAGGCAGAAUUAAAAUGCAAGACAGUAA